GGGGACCCCAGAGUCUGGAGCUGGCAAGGCCAGUAACAUCCCCCUGGAAGGGCUAGAGACCUCCAGGCUGAGACCAGCUGGGCUGGGUCAGCCAGGCCCAACUUGGUCACCCCACAGUUCUCAGCCACACUGGCCAGCUGGACAUGCUGCAGGGCUGAGGGUGGACACCAGUGCCAAAGGCCCCAGGUGAUGCUGUCCUUUGACCACCCCAGG
rnacentral:lncRNA from 1 species